rnacentral:rRNA from 1 species
UUGGACCCUGCCGUGUCACAAUGGCUGGUCUGAAAUGCAUGAGUGCACCCUGCCAUAGCAGCGUCUUCAGUGUGAUAAGUAUCUUCACUGACCCAAGCUUCCUCUGUGGAACACGCUUGUCUGGUGGGCUCUGGGCUUCCAACCGUCCCCAUGGACAACUCUUGACAAUUUGACCUCAAAUCGGGUGGGAUUACCCGCUGAACUUAAGCAUAUCAAUAAGCGGAGGAAAAGAAACUAACAAGGAUUCCCCUAGUAACGGCGAGUGAAGAGGGAAAAGCUCAAAUUUUGAAUCUGGUACCUUUGGUGCCCGAGUUGUAAUCUAGAGAAGUGUUUUCUGCCUUGGACCACGCAUAAAUUCCCUGGAAUGGGGUGUCAUAGAGGGUGAGAAUCCCGUUUGUGGUGUGGACUACCUUGGCUUUGUGAUACACUCUCAACGAGUCGAGUUGUUUGGGAAUGCAGCUCAAAAUGGGUGGUAAAUUCCAUCUAAAGCUAAAUAUUGGCGAGAGACCGAUAGCGAACAAGUACCGUGAGGGAAAGAUGAAAAGCACUUUGGAAAGAGAGUGAAACAGUACGUGAAAUUGUUGAAAGGGAAGCGCUUGAGGUCAGUCACAUCUGUCAGGACUCAGCCAGGCUUCUGCCUGGUGUACUUCCUGG